rnacentral:sRNA from 1 species
GAUUUUUUUCUUUGUGACCUACCAUAUGGAAAGACACCAUCCGGAAGAUGAAGAACGAUUUCCGGAAGAUGGAGGAUGAGAUGGACCGGCUGGCCACCAACAUGGCAGUGAUCACCGACUUCAGCGCUCGCAUCAGCGCCACGCUGCAGGACCGCCACGAGCGCAUCACCAAGCUGGCAGGUGGGCGCCGCCGGGCAGGGCCUGCAGUGGGCCUUUCCUGGGGCUCUGGGGCUAACGUCACCCUCCAUCCCCUAGGGGUCCAUGCGCUGCUGCGGAAGCUGCAGUUCCUCUUUGAGCUGCCCUCGCGCCUCACCAAGUGCGUGGAACUGGGCGCCUACGGGCAGGCGGUGCGCUACCAGGGCCGCGCGCAGGCCGUGCUGCAGCAGUACCAACACCUGCCCUCGUUCCGCGCCAUCCAGGACGACUGCCAGGUCAUUACGGCCCGUCUGGCCCAGCAGCUGCGGCAGCGCUUCAGGGAGGGCGGCUCAGGCGCCCCGGAGCAGGCAGAGUGCGUGGAGCUGCUGCUGGCCCUGGGCGAGCCUGCGGAGGAGCUGUGCGAGGAGUUCCUGGCGCACGCCCGCGGCCGGCUGGAGAAGGAGCUGAGAAGCCUGGAGGCCGAGCUGGGGCCCUCGCCUCCGGCUCCCGACGUGUUAGAGUUCACCGACCGUGGAGGCAGUGGCUUCGUGGGCGGCCUCUGCCAGGUGGCGGCGGCCUACCAGGAGCUGUUUGCGGCCCAGGGCCCAGCAGGUGCCGAGAAGCUGGCGGCCUUCGCCCGGGAGCUGGGCAGCCGCUAUUUUGCGCUGGUGGAGCGGCGGCUGGCGCAGGAGCAGGGUGGUGGUGACAACUCACUGCUGGUGCGGGCGCUGGACCGCUUCCACCGGCGCUUGCGGGCUCCUGGGGCCCUGCUGGCCGCUGCCGGGCUCGCAGACGCUGCCACGGAGAUCGUGGAACGAGUGGCCCGCGAGCGCCUGGGCCACCACCUGCAGGGUCUCCGGGCGGCCUUCCUGGGCUGCCUGACUGACGUCCGCCAGGCGCUGGCAGCGCCUCGCGUGGCUGGGAAGGAGGGCCCUGGCCUGGCCGAGUUGCUGGCUAACGUGGCCAGCUCCAUCCUGAGCCACAUUAAGGCCUCUCUGGCAGCAGUGCACCUUUUCACCGCCAAAGAGGUGUCCUUCUCCAACAAGCCCUACUUCCGGGGUGAGUUCUGCAGUCAGGGUGUCCGUGAGGGCCUCAUCGUGGGCUUCAUCCGCUCUAUGUGCCAGACGGCUCAGAGCUUCUGCGACAGCCCUGGGGAGAAGGGGGGUGCCACACCACCUGCCUUGCUCCUGCUGCUCUCCCGCCUCUGCCUGGACUACGAGACGGCCACCAUCUCCUACAUCCUCACUCUCACUGAUGAACAGUUUCUGGUGCAGGAUCAGUUCCCAGUGACGCCCGUGAGCACACUGUGUGCAGAGGCCAGGGAAACGGCGCGGCGACUGCUGACCCACUACGUGAAGGUGCAGGGCCUGGUCAUAUCACAGAUGCUGCGCAAAAGCGUGGAAACUCGCGACUGGCUCAGCACUCUGGAGCCCCGGAAUGUGCGGGCUGUCAUGAAGCGGGUGGUGGAGGAUACCACCGCCAUCGACGUGCAGGUGGGGCUCCUGUACGAAGAGGGUGUUCGCAAGGCCCAGAGCAGCGACUCCAGCAAGAGGACCUUCUCCGUGUACAGCAGCUCUCGGCAGCAGGGCCGCUACGCCCCCAGCUAUACCCCCAGUGCCCCGAUGGACACCAACCUCUUGAGCAAUAUCCAGAAGCUAUUCUCUGAACGUAUUGAUGUGUUCAGCCCUGUGGAGUUCAACAAGGUGUCGGUGCUGACUGGCAUCAUCAAGAUCAGCCUGAAGACGCUGCUGGAGUGUGUGCGGCUGCGCACCUUUGGGCGCUUCGGGCUGCAGCAGGUGCAAGUGGACUGCCACUUUCUGCAGCUCUACCUGUGGCGUUUUGUGGCCGACGAAGAACUCGUGCACUUGCUGCUAGACGAAGUGGUGGCCUCGGCUGCCCUGCGCUGCCCAGACCCUGUGCCCAUGGAGCCUAGUGUGGUCGAGGUCAUCUGCGAGCGCGGCUAGGCGCAGCCGCUGCUAUGCACCGGCCUGUCCCGGCACCCCAUGGCACCCAGGCUCUGGUCUCGGUGGUCCUUCCCCGCAGGCAGGUGUCAGGACCCGCCUAAUAAACAUGUGUGGCCUCCC